UUGUUCAGUGUAUGUCCAUAUCACAUCAUAUGGUCAUGAAUUAUCAGUAUGUGAUCAAAAGUUAAUGUUUCAAAAGAGGGAAUGGGAACUACAAAUGACCUUUGGUCUGAAAGAAGACUAUAAACAGGAGGGCAUCAAAUAGUUUGACAGAGCUGUCCGUGCUGCUGCAGUCGCUCAAACCAUGGCCACACAACAGAUCCUUCUGAUUAUUGGAAUAUUUGUUUUAGCAGGAUUUGAUGGAUGUUUCUCCGUUAUUCCUGAGGAGGAGCAGAACCCAAACUUUUGGUAUGUUAAGGGUAAAGAGGCUCU